GAGCCGGUAGCUCAGUAGGUAGAGCAACGGCCUUUUAAGCCGUGGGUCGCGGGUUCGAGUCCCGCCCGGCUCACCA
rnacentral:tRNA from 2 species